GCCGGGCGUGGUAGCGCGCACCUGUAAUCCCAGCUACUCAGGAGGCUGAGGCAGGAGAAUUGCUUGAGCCCAGGAGGUGGAGGUUGCAGUGAGCCGAGAUUGUGCCACUGCACUCCAGCCUGGGCAACAAAACAAGACUCUGUCUCAA
rfam:Homo sapiens chromosome 3, GRCh38 reference primary assembly.